CUACUCACUGUCCCGCUAUAAUCUGAAAAACCUGGUGAGAGUCCUCAUCUGCAGUGAAUGCCUGCCUUAUCUGAAAGGAAUCCGACAGGCCUUAUUACUUCCACCUUAUGCCCCAGACUUUCUAAAUCACAGUGGCCUUCAAGGAAAGAGGAAGUGCAUCUCUUGUUAAAGCUGUUGUCUGUAGUCUGCUGUGAUGAAGAGAGUUCUUGGGGUGGGAACGAACGGAGGUGUGGGUUCACCAUAACUCUCCGGAAUUCAAGUGAUCUGUUAAGAGGGGUGCUCUUGGAGGAAUCAUGAGGAAAAAUCAUUACAGUUAUUUCUAACAGAGUGAAAGAGAAAUUAAAAAUAAAUUGAAUCAAAAGCUAAAGAAAUCUCAGAGUCUCUGCAUUAGCAGGAUCAAUUCAGAUGCACUAAAGAGAGCAGAGACUGCUUGUCAUGGAAUCAGAAGUGACCUGCCCAUGAAGCCAGAGAAUGACUCUGUCAGUGUAGAGUUAGUGGCAUCAGAAAUGAAGAUGUAUCUCUUCUUUGAUAUAGUAUGUACACCUUGAAUGCUGCAGACAUAGGUUCUCCAUGUAUAAAUCACAUUAUUUUCAAAGAUUGUGUUCAUUUUCUUAUUGUAUAUGCCAAAUGUGUGUUUGUUCAUACAUAAAAAUUGUGUAACUAUAUUCUCAAAUUUCAUUCAGCUGUUCAACAGAACUAAUUUGUUCUUUGCACAUGACAGUAUGUAUAUAAUGUAAGGAGAGACUUAUUUUUGAAUUCUGCAAAUGAUUUAUGAUCGCUAUUUAGGAUUUUCAAAAUAGUGACAAAAAAAUGAACUAUAAGCUCAACAG